AAUUAACGCUGGCGGCAUGCGUAACACAUGCAAGUCGUGCGAGAAACCCCGGUUCGCCGGGGGAGUAAAGCGGCGCACGGGUGAGUAACGCGUGGGUAAUCUACCUCUGCCUGGGGGAUAACACACCGAAAGGUGUGCUAAUACCGCAUAACCUAGCCUGGCCCCGGUCAGGUUAGCAAAGGUGGCCUCUCCUUGGAAGCUACCGAGUGGAGAUGAGCCCGCGUCCCAUUAGCUGGUUGGUAGGGUAAAAGCCUACCAAGGCGACGAUGGGUAGCGGGUCUGAGAGGACGGCCACACACACUGGAACUAGAAAACGGUCCAGACUCCUACGGGAGGCAGCAGUGAGGAAUAUUGCGCAAUGGGGGCAACCCUGACGCAGCGAUGCCGCGUGGGUGACGAAGGCCUUCGGGUCGUAAAGCCCUGUCAGGUGGGAAGAAUAGCCUGGAAGCCAAUACCUUUCAGGUGUGACGGUACCACCGAAGGAAGCACCGGCUAACUCCGUGCCAGCAGCCGCCGUAACAC
rnacentral:rRNA from 1 species